rnacentral:lncRNA from 1 species
UCCUCCAUGACAUCAUCUUCAGGCCUUCCUCCAUGACAUCGUGUUCAGGCCUUCCUCCAUGACAUCGUGUUCAGGCAUUCCUCCAUGACAUCGUCUUCAGUCCUUCCUCCAUGACAUCAUCUUCAGGCCUUCCUCUAUGACAUCGUCUUCAGGCCUUCCUCCAUGACAUCGUGUUCAGGCCUUCCUCUAUGACAUCGUCUUCAGGCCUUCCUCCAUGACAUCGUCUUCAGGCCUUCCUCUAUGACAUCAUCUUCAGGCCUUCCUCUAUGACAUCGUCUUCAGGCCUUCCUCUAUGACAUCGUCUUCAGGCCUUCCUCCAUGACAUCGCUCACAGAGGACGCCUCAUCUGCAAACACACGGUUCAGAACGUCUUCCAUGCUCUCUUGAGAGGUCAGGGUCUUGAAGGCAAAC